rnacentral:rRNA from 1 species
UGCAGUCGAGCGAACAGAUGAAGUGCUUGCACUUCUGACGUUAGCGGCGAACGGGUGAGUAACACGUAAGGAAUCUACCUAUAAGCGGGGGAUAACAUUCGGAAACGGGUGCUAAUACCGCAUAAUAUCUUCUUCCGCAUGGAAGAAGAUUGAAAGACGGCUCUGCUGUCACUUAUAGAUGACCUUGCGGUGCAUUAGUUAGUUGGUGGGGUAACGGCCUACCAAGACGAUGAUGCAUAGCCGACCUGAGAGGGUGAUCGGCCACAUUGGGACUGAGACACGGCCCAAACUCCUACGGGAGGCAGCAGUAGGGAAUCUUCCGCAAUGGGCGAAAGCCUGACGGAGCAAUGCCGCGUGAGUGAAGAAGGCCUUCGGGUCGUAAAACUCUGUUAUAAGAGAAGAACAAAUUGUAGAGUAACUGCUACAGUCUUGACGGUAUCUUAUCAGAAAGCCACGGCUAACUACGUGCCAGCAGCCGCGGUAAUACGUAGGUGGCAAGCGUUGUCCGGAUUUAUUGGGCGUAAAGGGAGCGCAGGUGGUUUCUUAAGUCUGAUGUGAAAGCCCACGGCUUAACCGUGGAGGGUCAUUGGAAACUGGGAAACUUGAGUACAGAAGAGGAAUGUGGAACUCCAUGUG